rnacentral:rRNA from 1 species
UUAGCAGGGAAGAAGCGAGAGUGACGGUACCUGCAGAAAAAGCGCCGGCUAACUACGUGCCAGCAGCCGCGGUAAUACGUAGGGCGCAAGCGUUAUCCGGAAUUAUUGGGCGUAAAGAGCUCGUAGGCGGUUUGUCGCGUCUGCUGUGAAAUCCCGAGGCUCAACCUCGGGCCUGCAGUGGGUACGGGCAGACUAGAGUGCGGUAGGGGAGAUUGGAAUUCCUGGUGUAGCGGUGGAAUGCGCAGAUAUCAGGAGGAACACCGAUGGCGAAGGCAGAUCUCUGGGCCGUAACUGACGCUGAGGAGCGAAAGGGUGGGGAGCAAACAGGCUUAGAUACCCUGGUAGUCCACCCCGUAAACGUUGGGAACUAGUUGUGGGGUCCAUUCCACGGAUUCCGUGACGCAGCUAACGCAUUAAGUUCCCCGCCUGGGGAGUACGGCCGCAAGGCUAAAACUCAAAGGAAUUGACGGGGACCCGCACAAGCGGCGGAGCAUGCGGAUUAAUUCGAUGCAACGCGAAGAACCUUACCAAGGCUUGACAUAUACGAGAACGGGCCAGAAAUGGUCAACUCUUUGGACACUCGUAAACAGGUGGUGCAUGGUUGUCGUCAGCUCGUGUCGUGAGAUGUUGGGUUAAGUCCCGCAACGAGCGCAACCCUCGUUCUAUGUUGCCAGCACGUAAUGGUGGGAACUCAUGGGAUACUGCCGGGGUCAACUCGGAGGAAGGUGGGGAUGACGUCA